rnacentral:rRNA from 1 species
GACGAACGCUGGCGGCGUGCUUAACACAUGCUAGUCGAACGGAAAGGCCCUGCCUUUGUUGGGUGCUCGAGUGGCGAACGGGUGAGUAACACGUGAGUAACCUGCCCUUGACUUUGGGAUAACUUCAGGAAACUGGGGCUAAUACCGGAUAGGAGCUCCUGCUGCAUGGUGGGGGUUGGAAAGUUUCGGCGGUUGGGGAUGGACUCGCGGCUUAUCAGCUUGUUGGUGGGGUAGUGGCUUACCAAGGCUUUGACGGGUAGCCGUCCUGAGAGGGUGACCGGCCACAUUGGGACUGAGAUACGGCCCAGACUCCUACGGGAGGCAGCAGUGGGGAAUAGUGCACAAUGGGCAGAAGCCUGAUGCAGCACAGCCGCGUGCGGGAUGACGGCCUUCGCGUUGUAAACCGCUUUCGCCUGUGACGAAGCGUGAGUGACGGUAAUGAGUAAAGAAGCACCGGCUAACUACGUG